rnacentral:lncRNA from 10 species
GCCAGGAUUUCCUCUUCCUAUUUCCAGCUGCUUUCCCGGCUCUAAGCUCCAAGUGCUAUCACCUUCAGUUGACCAGCUGCGUCUUUGUCCCUCCCCACAUCACUUUCUGCAGCCAGGGCAGCACUCCUGGACAGGAAGCCAUGAACUUGCAAUUCCACCAUUUCUUCCAGUUGCUUUUGGGAGAAUUCAGUUUCAAAGUGCGAGUUGAGGAUAACAUUCUGGCUUUCAGAAAUCAUAAAUAAUGAACGGCACAUUUGAGUCAUUAUCGGUGGUUAUCCCUCUUAGAGUCCUCUUUGGUGUGCUCCGACCUAAGGGCACCCGUGGAGAAGGAGAAGGAGAUCUCAAGAGGAAAAAUCAAUGCAGGAACAAAGAAACUCUUGGGUCUAGUGAAGAGAGACUGGAUCUUGCUAGGCGAGUCAGGGAUGGGGAGCUGGAACUGGGAAAUGUUAAUUUGCAAGGGUCCCCUGUGUAGCAAGAGGAAACUGCACAUCCCUCUAGCCUGAACUCUGUCUUCAGAUCCCAGCUUCCUACACUCUCACCUGGAGAACUCCCCAAGUUCUUUCUUCUCCUUCAACAUUCCCAACAUCUGGGCUUCCUCUGGGUCCUGGUUUCAGAUGAUUUUCACAUGUCCAUUUCUUGCUUCUACCCUGGGUGAGUUAAAUUUGGAUGACAAUACCCAGAUCUUACAGUUUGAAGGAGAAUUAAAUGGAAUAAUAUGUGCAGAAGUGUUUCGUCAACAGCAAAGUGCAUUUAAAGGCAGAAUGUGCAUGUGAGACAGCCAAGUGUAAAGGGGU